GACGAACGCUGGCGGCGUGCUUAACACAUGCAAGUCGAACGGAAAGGCCCUGCUUUUGUGGGGUGCUCGAGUGGCGAACGGGUGAGUAACACGUGAGUAACCUGCCCUUGACUUUGGGAUAACUUCAGGAAACUGGGGCUAAUACCGGAUAGGAGCUCCUGCUGCAUGGUGGGGGUUGGAAAGUUUCGGCGGUUGGGGAUGGACUCGCGGCUUGUCAGCUUGUUGGUGGGGUAGUGGCUUACCAAGGCUUUGACGGGUAGCCGGCCUGAGAGGGGGACCGGCCACAUUGGGUCUGGGAUGCGGCCCGGACUCCUACGGGAGGCAGCAGUGGAGAGUGUUGCACUAUGGGCGGGAGCCUGGUGCGGCAACGCCGCGUGCGGGAUGACGUCCAUCGGUUUGUAAACCGCUUUCGCCUGUGACGAAGCGUUAGUGACGGUAAUGGGUAAAGAAGCACCGGCUAACUACGUG
rnacentral:rRNA from 1 species